UUUUACUGUGUUUUCUCUCAUUAUGUUGCCAAGAAAUGUUUAUGUUCCUUUGGAUUUUCUGAGUUUACUUUGCCUGAUUUAUGUGUUUUCAUCUUUACAUUUGAUCAAUAGCGGAAACCUGGCAUUUUGGAGUUUUCAUAUUACUUGUGUGUGAUUGGUUUGCUUCCCGUCUCUGAACUAGUUUUGAUUUCAAAAGCCCUAAUUUCUAUAGUUUAUGUCAUGUUCUCCAUGUGACUCUGAUUCUUGUUAAACUUUGCAAGACCUUCUAUCUAAUUUCUCUCAUGCUAUCUGAUUCUCUCUUUUAGCUAUAUUCUUUUAUUCACUGGUUCUUGAUUGCAUGACCAUGUUGUUUUGAUUAAACCCAUCUUGCAUGUUUAAACUUUAUACACCCUUUAUAGUGAGACAUCACCCUCUCAAAAUAACCUUUAAUUUUGGGGAUUGGUUU
rnacentral:lncRNA from 1 species